rnacentral:rRNA from 1 species
GGACUCCACUGCUAUCGGGGUAAGGCUAAGCCAUGCAAGUCGAAGGCCUCCGGCUCCGGGGGCCUGGCGUACGGCUGAGUAACGCGUGGCCAACCUGCCCUGCGGAGGGGGAUAACCCCGGGAAACUGGGGAUAAACCCCCAUAGGUGACCGGGUCUGGAAGGACCGGUCGCCGAAAGUCCCGGUCGGGGACGCUCCGGCCGGGAGCCGCAGGAUGGGGCUGCGUCCUAUCAGGUAGUUGGUGGGGUAACGGCCCACCAAGCCUGUGACGGGUAGGGGCCCUGAGAGGGGGAGCCCCCAGAUGGACUCUGAGACAAGAGUCCAGGCCCUACGGGGCGCAGCAGGCGCGAAAACUCCGCAAUGGGCGAAAGCCCGACGGGGUUACCCCGAGUGCCACCCUCGUGGUGGCUUUUGCCCGCUCUAAAAAGGCGGGCGAAUAAGGGGAGGGCAAGUCGGGUGUCAGCCGCCGCGGUAAUACCCGCUCCCCGAGUGGUGGAGGCUAUUACUGGGCCUAAAGCGCCCGUAGCCGGCCCGGUGUGUCCCUCGUUAAAUCCACGGGCUUAACCCGUGGGCUGCGGGGGAUACUACCGGGCUUGGGGGUGGGAGAGGCGCCCGGUAUUCCCGGGGUAGGGGUAAAAUCCUCUGAUCCCGGGAGGACCAUCAGUGGCGAAGGCGGGGCGCCAGAACA